rnacentral:rRNA from 1 species
UACGGAGGGUGCAAGCGUUAUCCGGAUUCACUGGGUUUAAAGGGUGCGUAGGUGGGUUGGUAAGUCAGUGGUGAAAUCUCCGUGCUUAACAUGGAAACUGCCAUUGAUACUACUGAUCUUGAAUUUUCGGGAGGUAAGCGGAAUAUGUCAUGUAGCGGUGAAAAUGCUUAGAUAUGACAUAGAACACCAAUUGCGAAGGCAGCUUACUACAGGAAUAUUGACACUGAUGCACGAAAAGCGUGGGGGAUCAAACAGG